UUAAGCGUGUAGGCUGGUUUUCCAGGCAAAUCCGGAAAAUCAAGGCUGAGGCGUGAUGACGAGGCACUACGGUGCUGAAGCAACAAAUGCCCUGCUUCCAGGAAAAGCCUCUAAGCAUCAGGUAACAUCAAAUCGUACCCCAAACCGACACAGGUGGUCAGGUAGAGAAUACCAAGGCGCUUGAGAGAACUCGGGUGAAGGAACUAGGCAAAAUGGUGCCGUAACUUCGGGAGAAGGCACGCUGAUAUGUAGGUGAAGUCCCUCGCGGAUGGAGCUGAAAUCAGUCGAAGAUACCAGCUGGCUGCAACUGUUUAUUAAAAACACAGCACUGUGCAAACACGAAAGUGGACGUAUACGGUGUGACGCCUGCCCGGUGCCGGAAGGUUAAUUGAUGGGGUCAGCGCAAGCGAAGCUCUUGAUCGAAGCCCCGGUAAACGGCGGCCGUAACUAUAACGGUCCUAAGGUAGCGAAAUUCCUUGUCGGGUAAGUUCCGACCUGCACGAAUGGCGUAAUGAUGGCCAGGCUGUCUCCACCCGAGACUCAGUGAAAUUGAACUCGCUGUGAAGAUGCAGUGUACCCGCGGCAAGACGGAAAGACCCCGUGAACCUUUACUAUAGCUUGACACUGAACAUUGAGCCUUGAUGUGUAGGAUAGGUGGGAGGCUUAGAAGUGUGGACGCCAGUCUGCAUGGAGCCGACCUUGAAAUACCACCCUUUAAUGUUUGAUGUUCUAACGUUGACCCGUAAUCCGGGUUGCGGACAGUGUCUGGUGGGUAGUUUGACUGGGGCGGUCUCCUCCUAAAGAGUAACGGAGGAGCACGAAGGUUGGCUAAUCCUGGUCGGACAUCAGGAGGUUAGUGCAAUGGCAUAAGCCAGCUUGACUGCGAGCGUGACGGCGCGAGCAGGUGCGAAAGCAGGUCAUAGUGAUCCGGUGGUUCUGAAUGGAAGGGCCAUCGCUCAACGGAUAAAAGGUACUCCGGGGAUAACAGGCUGAUACCGCCCAAGAGUUCAUAUCGACGGCGGUGUUUGGCACCUCGAUGUCGGCUCAUCACAUCCUGGGGCUGAAGUAGGUCCCAAGGGUAUGGCUGUUCGCCAUUUAAAGUGGUACGCGAGCUGGGUUUAGAACGUCGUGAGACAGUUCGGUCCCUAUCUGCCGUGGGCGCUGGAGAACUGAGGGGGGCUGCUCCUAGUACGAGAGGACCGGAGUGGACGCAUCACUGGUGUUCGGGUUGUCAUGCCAAUGGCACUGCCCGGUAGCUAAAUGCGGAAGAGAUAAGUGCUGAAAGCAUCUAAGCACGAAACUUGCCCCGAGAUGAGUUCUCCCUGACUCCUUGAGAGUCCUGAAGGAACGUUGAAGACGACGACGUUGAUAGGCCGGGUGUGUAAGCGCAGCGAUGCGUUGAGCUAACCGGUACUAAUGAACCGUGAGGCUUAACCUU
rnacentral:rRNA from 1 species